CCGGACGCUGCGCAACCCCAUCUCCGGCCGCCUCAAGCACCACGCCGGCGUCCACCCCAAGUUCCACGGACUCAUCACCGGCUCGCACAGAUUCUAUGGUAGGAGCAAAACAAGACAUGAUUGACCUCACCGUGCACUCUAAAAGGAAUCAUCACAAAGAUUGGAGAAGUUGCUAGGACACUUCAUAUAAACUAAAGUCUUGAAAAUGAGAAACUGAACAACUUGCAUGAAAAGGUUUUAUCUCUCUCCCUCAGCUAAGCCAACCGUGCGGCGACAGGUGGCCCAAUGUUGGAAACAUUUUCUUUAGUAAGCUUGUAGAUAGAAAUUUUGAACGGCAAGGACAUGCAAGGUUUAAGUUUUGUGAUAUUGAUGAUUCAAGUUUUCAUGUUCGGUAACAGUACACCAGUUGGGCAAUUUGGAGCAUGUUAUGCUCAGUGAAUUUUGUCUAUGCGCAGGUUAAAGACUCUCAAAUUGAUUUUAAACUUCUACGUUCAGUUACAAAGCUCUUGGUUUUGUCUGGAGGGAGCCCCCUUUUGACUCUAUUCCUGGAGCCCUAAAUAUGGAGAAUCAGGUAGCGGAGGCUUCUGAAGGUGGGGCUCGCAGUGCUCAACCACAAACUUGAUGCGCUUCACGGUGGUCCUUGGGAGCGACGAGAGGAAAACAUGAGGGAUG